GUGCUCACUUUGGCAGCGUAUAUACUAAAAUUGGAAUGAUUAGCAUGGCUCCUAUACAAGGAUGACAAACAAAUUUGUGAAGUGUUCCAUAUUUUU
ensembl:snRNA U6 U6 spliceosomal RNA